rnacentral:snoRNA from 1 species
GGGUCAGUGAUGAAAUCUUUGUCUUGUCUCCAGAGAGGUGUUGUCUUAAAAGUUUUGCACAAUAGAGUUGCACUGAGGACA